GUGAGUAACACGUGAGCAACCUGCCCCUGACUCUGGGAUAAGCGCUGGAAACGGCGUCUAAUACUGGAUACGAGUAGCGACCGCAUGGUCAGUUACUGGAAAGAUUUAUUGGUUGGGGAUGGGCUCGCGGCCUAUCAGCUUGUUGGUGAGGUAAUGGCUCACCAAGGCGUCGACGGGUAGCCGGCCUGAGAGGGUGACCGGCCACACUGGGACUGAGACACGGCCCAGACUCCUACGGGAGGCAGCAGUGGGGAAUAUUGCACAAUGGGCGCAAGCCUGAUGCAGCAACGCCGCGUGAGGGAUGACGGCCUUCGGGUUGUAAACCUCUUUUAGCAGGGAAGAAGCGAAAGUGACGGUACCUGCAGAAAAAGCGCCGGCUAACUACGUGCCAGCAGCCGCGGUAAUACGUAGGGCGCAAGCGUUAUCCGGAAUUAUUGGGCGUAAAGAGCUCGUAGGCGGUUUGUCGCGUCUGCUGUGAAAUCCGGAGGCUCAACCUCCGGCCUGCAGUGGGUACGGGCAGACUAGAGUGCGGUAGGGGAGAUUGGAAUUCCUGGUGUAGCGGUGGAAUGCGCAGAUAUCAGGAGGAACACCGAUGGCGAAGGCAGAUCUCUGGGCCGUAACUGACGCUGAGGAGCGAAAGGGUGGGGAGCAAACAGGCUUAGAUACCCUGGUAGUCCACCCCGUAAACGUUGGGAACUAGUUGUGGGGUCCAUUCCACGGAUUCCGUGACGCAGCUAACGCA
rnacentral:rRNA from 1 species